GACGAACGCUGGCGGCGUGCCUAAUACAUGCAAGUCGAACGCUUCUUUCCUCCCGAGUGCUUGCACUCCAUUGGAAAGAGGAGUGGCGGACGGGUGAGUAACACGUGGGUAACCUACCCAUCAGAGGGGGAUAACACUUGGAAACAGGUGCUAAUACCGCAUAACAGUUUAUGCCGCAUGGCAUAAGAGUGAAAGGCGCUUUCGGGUGUCGCUGAUGGAUGGACCCGCGGUGCAUUAGCUAGUUGGUGAGGUAACGGCUCACCAAGGCCACGAUGCAUAGCCGACCUGAGAGGGUGAUCGGCCACACUGGGACUGAGACACGGCCCAGACUCCUACGGGAGGCAGCAGUAGGGAAUCUUCGGCAAUGGACGAAAGUCUGACCGAGCAACGCCGCGUGAGUGAGGAAGGUUUUCGGAUCGUAAAACUCUGUUGUUAGAGAAGAACAAGGACGUUAGUAACUGAACGUCCCCUGACGGUAUCUAACCAGAAAGCCACGGCUAACUACGUG
rnacentral:rRNA from 1 species